rnacentral:rRNA from 1 species
GCGUGUUUGCCUACGAAGCCUCAGCAGCGACAGCGCCGGGAAAGCACUGCUUCAGUCGGCCUAUAUUCUAGGUCUGGCAACGCGAUCAAUCUGGGCUGGGAGCACCCGUAUAGGGCGCAACCAGCAGCUAGGUACUACCUAGUCUACAGAUCAAACGAUGGCGGCCACCGAGCGUGGUUCAGAUAUGACCGGCCCCAGCCGUCCCCGGCUGGCGAUGUUUGUGCGGAACCUGCGGAAGGAUCAUU